rnacentral:rRNA from 1 species
AACGAACGCUGGCGGCAUGCUUAACACAUGCAAGUCGAACGCGGUUCUUCGGGACCGAGUGGCGCACGGGUGAGUAGCGCGUGGGAACCUGCCCUCUUGUGGGGGAUAACCGAGGGAAACCUCGGCUAAUACCGCAUAAGCCGGAGAGAUCCGGGAAAGAUUUAUCGCGAGAGGAGGGGCCCGCGUCGGAUUAGCUUGUUGGUGGGGUAACGGCCUACCAAGGCGAUGAUCCGUAGCUGGUCNGAGAGGAUGAUCAGCCACACUGGACUGAGACACGGCCCAGACUCCUACGGGAGGCAGCAGUGGGGAAUAUUGGACAAUGGGCGCAAGCCUGAUCCAGCAAUGCCGCGUGAGUGAGGAAGGCCUUAGGGUUGUAAAGCUCUUUCACCCGCGACGAUGAUGACGGUAGCGGGAGAAGAAGCCCCGGCUAACUUCGUGCCAGCAGCCGCA